GCUGAAGAACGUAGCGAAAUGCGAUAAGUAGUGUGAAUUGCAGAAUUCAGUGAAUCAUCGAAUCUUUGAACGCACAUUGCGCCCCUUGGUAUCCCGAGGGGCAUGCCUGUUCGAGCGUCAUUUCACCACUCAAGCCUGGCUUGGUGUUGGGCGACGUCCUCUUUGGGGACGCGCCUCGAAACGCUCGGCGGCGUGGCACCGGCUUUAAGCGUAGCAGAAUCUUUCGCUUUGGAAGUCGGGGCCCCGUCUGCCGGAAGACCUGCUCGCAAGGUUGACCUCGGAUCAGGCAGGGAUACCCGCUGAACUUAAGCAUAUCAAUAAGCGGAGGA
rnacentral:misc_RNA from 1 species